AGCGACGCCGAGCCCGGGACCGGGACCGGGACCGGGACCUGGACCGGGCCGCCGUGGAACAGCAGAACUAACUGCCCCAGAUCAAUGGCUUUCACCGAUUCCUCCCACUCAGUUAAGAAUACAAGCAAGACGUUAUCAAAUUACUGACAUAGUGGCAAUGGUUCAACAUCGCACUGCACUGCACUAACCGCAUGAAAGAGUUGCAUGUGGACCAGACAAGUGGGUGGAAAGGAAGUCUCCCGUCCUUGUUAUCGAAGACUGCUUUCUUGAUGUGGCAUCUCCAGGGCAUUCCCUGAUGUCUUGUCCCAAUGUUCAUUCUUCAUAUGUAAGCCCAAACACUGAAUAUUGUCAAACACAAUGAACUGCAGAAACUGGUUUACAAAAAAAGGUACAGCGCUGGAGCAACUCAGACUCAAUGUUCUUCAGUCUGAAGAAGCAUUCCAACCCGAAACGUCACCUAUCCAUUUUCUCCAGAGAUGCUGCCUGACUCACUGAGUUAUCCCAGCACUUUGUGACAGAAGAUUGUCAAAUUGAUUGACCUUUGGUACAUCCCAGCUUCUCUCAACUCUGCCCUUGUUGAUGCUAAACAAUACACACAAACAUUCAGGACGGUCAACGGAAAUCGAAAACCAGCUGAAUUUUCUGCUCCCCGGGCCAACAUCUGGUUCCUAUUCUAUUGCCUCAGCUGCCCUGAUUGCAGAGAUCAGCCAUCUCAUCGCUGAAUAGGGACCAAAUCUAGAAUCUUCCUUCUCUGUGCAGUUCAAUUAUAACUUUCUUCACCAACUCUGUUUGAGUUUGAAAAAUUCUCAUCUUCUCCAGAGUUUGAUUGUGCAAAUUAUUUACCACCCCUUUCUUUCUGAACUAGGAAAACUUAAACCCUAAUAAAUUGGAACACAUUACUAAUAAUCCACAAUUGAAAGAAUGGAAACCCCUCAAGCAAUGAAUGCCUGGUAUUAAGAAUCUGAAAUAUUUUCAAAGGUUAAACGCUCAUGACAGGCCUCUGUCCUCUACAAGAAUUUCUUCAACUGUUUUGUGGUUACUUAUUCUGUGUAUCAUGUCCCCCUUGGGAAUGUAAAGAAAACAGUAUUCCUGCCUCAUCCAGACAAAAUCUGCAAGUACUAAAAGCAAUUACUUCACCCACAUCAGGAAAACUGGGGAAUUUUUUGGUGAAUGUUGUGAGUUCCAGAGGAUUUUUUUACCCGACUACACCCCUAUCUCUCACAACUGGUGCCAAGGGAUGUUGCCAUAUGAAAACAUCGCUGUCAACAGCAAUCAAUAUUACUUGCGUUGCAACAUUCCAGGCACUGCUAAGGCCUCAUUUAGUUACUUUGUUUCUGAAAAAGCUCCCCUGUUUCAUUGUACUUGUGGAUAGGUUUCUUAUUUUAAAUGAAACCUGACUAAAUAUAACAAUGACAUUGAAAAUUGAAUCAAAAAGUUAUUGUCAAGCAAACAAAUGUCCUAUUGUUCGAAGCACUACCAAGGCAAAAUUGAACGUAAGGAGCCAAAUCAUUGAGGUAAGCGGUUCCUAAGGGAAGCAAUGGUGUUCUGCACCUGAGUUUGAAGAAGAAUAUGAAGAAGAGUCCGGAAGACUGAAAUUAUGUUUGUGAACCAAAUUAUGGUUUCACAAUCAGCCACUCAAUCUUAGAUCUCACCAAAUAAAUACAUUUCUGGAUCAGUAACAGAGCCUUAAGUUCA